rnacentral:tRNA from 1 species
GUUUUUAGGGUGUUAUAGCACAUUAGAUUUUCAUUCUGAAGGUGUAGAUAUAAUUAGUCUACUAGAAAUA